UGUAGAACUUGAAUAUGGCAAAGUUAAAAUUGAAAACAAAGAAGGUUUGCUUUUUAUGUUUUUUUAUUUUUUAUUUAUUCAUAUUAAAAAUAGGUAAUAUUGUCGUUGGCUUUUCUAGGAAACCAUCUUUUCAGCACAACUAUAACCAGCAGUCCUUAACUCAUUGGAAUGACAGUUUGCUUAUGUAGUGGCAAUUUGAAAGCAAAGUGGUAGCGGGUCUGGUAAUAUCCAUUAUUCGAUUAUAGGUAAUCGUACCCCUGACUCGAAGACCCUUCCUAUUCUCGGUUCGAUACGCUACCCCUAGGACCGAGGACCCAAGACUGGAAAAGGGAGUGAUACCGACGACCCUCAUUUAAAUUACAAAAAAAGAAGGGGGGAAAAACAAAGAAACAAUGAGAAAGUAUUAAAGACCCUGUCCCCGACCAAUCUUCAACUGGAUUGGAAAUGCGGAAAAAAGGAAAGAAGUAAUGCAAAAAAAAAAAGAAAAUGCCAGGGAAGAGGAGGUGGUUGUAGAGAACGGAAUAAGCAAAAUGUAGGGAAUCCAAUUUUCACCUAAUGUCGGUGGCAGCUUCAAUCCGAGUACAUCAACGUCCCUUCGAUUGAAACGACUGCCAUUUCCAUGAAAUAAGAAAAUAGUCGCAAUUGCUUCGAGCUACUUUUA